UACGAAGGGUGCAAGCGUUACUCGGAAUUACUGGGCGUAAAGCGUGCGUAGGUGGUUUGUUAAGUCUGAUGUGAAAGCCCUGGGCUCAACCUGGGAAUUGCAUUGGAUACUGGCAGGCUAGAGUGCGGUAGAGGAUGGCGGAAUUCCCGGUGUAGCAGUGAAAUGCGUAGAGAUCCGGAGGAACACCAGCGGCGAAGGCGGCAUCCUGGACUGGUCCUGACACUCAGGAGCGAAAGCGUGGGGAGCGAUCCGG
rnacentral:rRNA from 1 species